rnacentral:rRNA from 1 species
CACGUAGGGCGCGAGCGUUGUCCGGAAUUAUUGGGCGUAAAGAGCUCGUAGGCGGCCUGUUGCGUCCGCUGUGAAAGCCCGGGGCUAAACCCCGGGUCUGCAGUGGAUACGGGCAGGCUAGAGGUAGGUAGGGGAGAAUGGAAUUCCCGGUGUAGCGGUGAAAUGCGCAGAUAUCGGGAGGAACACCUGAGGCGAAGGCGGGCUACUGGGCCGAUACUGACGCUGAGGCGCGAAAGCCAGGGGAGCAAACGGG